AUUGAACGCUGGCGGCAUGCUUUACACAUGCAAGUCGAACGGCAGCGCGGGCUUCGGCCUGGCGGCGAGUGGCGAACGGGUGAGUAAUGCAUCGGAACGUGCCCAGUAGUGGGGGAUAGCCCGGCGAAAGCCGGAUUAAUACCGCAUACGACCUGAGGGUGAAAGCGGGGGACCGAAAGGCCUCGCGCUAUUGGAGCGGCCGAUGUCGGAUUAGCUAGUUGGUGGGGUAAAGGCUUACCAAGGCGACGAUCCGUAGCUGGUCUGAGAGGACGACCAGCCAACUUGGACUUGGGCACGGCCCCGACCUCCUAGGGGAGGCAGAGUUGGGAAAUUUUGACCAAUGGGGCAACCCUGAUCCAGCCAUGCCGCGUGCGGGAAGAAGGCCUUCGGGUUGUAAACCGCUUUUGUUCGGGAAGAAAUCCUCUGGGCUAAUACCCCGGGGGGAUGACGGUACCGGAAGAAUAAGCACCGGCUAACUACGUG
rnacentral:rRNA from 1 species